rnacentral:lncRNA from 1 species
GCUAUUCACAGUAACAUGACAGAAGUAGAAGAGUAAGAGAAGAGAAAAAGUCAUUCUAUGAUAUUAUAUGGUAGUGACAUGUCCAGAGAAUAGUGGGUAGUUAAGUGUGGAUCAGAGUAGUCCACAGGGUGAAAUGAGGUUGGAAUCAAAGCUGGUCCCAGGAAAUAAUGAAAGAGGAUGAAAAAUUUUCCAAAGAUAAGCUUGCAAGAAAUAUAAAGAGUAAUAAUAGGGUAAGAGGAGAAAAAUAGCAUGCUUGAUCAGCCAUGAGUAGAAGGGGAAGUGUAAUAAAGAAUUUUAGGGCAAUGUGUUUGGGAGAUAAGGCUAGAGAAACAAGCAGUUGCCAGAUGAUAGUGGGCACUGUAUGUCUUGUUAAAGAUUUGAAAUUUAUUCUUUGGGCAAUGUAGAAACAUCAAAAAGUGUUAAAUAAGGGAUAGAUUUAGUCAAAUUUGCUUCUGGUCAUGAAUGACCUGUUUUCUCAGGGGAGCUUAGGUCAAGAAAGUUUAGAAGAGAGUAAUGGCAGCUGGGUGCAGUGAUGCAUGCCUGUAAUCCCAUUGCUCCAGAGACAGACAGGAGGAUUGCAAAUUCAAAGCCAGUCUCAGCAAUUUAGCAAGGCCCUAAGCAACUUAGUGAGACCCUAUCUCAAAUUAAAAAUUGAAAAGGGCUGGGGAUGUGGCUCAGUGAUUAAGUGCCCUUGGGUUCAAUGCCUGCUACCAAAAAAGUACGGCAGUUUAGGGACUCCAGGCAGAUGUUUGCUGAAAGCCAGAAGUUUGAGCAGAGGUGCCUGGGGACUGGAUGAAGCCAGACCUCAGUGAAAGUAACAGGGACUUUCCUGGGUUCUGAUUAAAAGCUAAGAACCUCUAGCCUGGUGCAGUGGCAUGCCUGAAAUUCCUACUUGGGAAACUGAGGCAGGAGGAUUACUUGAUCCCAGAAGUUUGAAAUUAGCCUGUGCAACAUAGAGAGAUCCUGUCUCAAAAGGGUCCCUCCCAAAAUGAACUAAGAAUCUCAGUUGCUGGGCAUGGUGGUGAAUGCCUGUAAUCCCAGCGGCUUAGGAGGAUGAGACAGGAGGAUUGCAAGUUCAAAGCCAGCCUCAGCAAUUUAGGGAGGCCCUAAGCAACUCAUUGAGA